rnacentral:rRNA from 1 species
CAUUAGUCUUUUGUGAUACAUUUUCAAUGAGUCAGGUUGUUUGGGAAUGCAGCCUAAAUUGGGAGGUAAAUCUCUCCUAAAGCUAAAUAUUUGCGAGAAACCGAUAGCGAACAAGUACCGUGAGGGAAAGAUGAAAAGAACUUUGAAAAGAGAGUUAAACAGUAUGUGAAAUUGUUAAAAGGGAACCGUUUGGAGCCAGUCUGGCUUUCCUAUAAUCAAUCUAGGCUUCGGCCUUGAUGCACUUGUAGGUUAUCGCCGGCCAACGACAAUUGGGAUCGCGAGGGAAAAAACCUUUGGAAAUGUAGCCAUUCUGCAAAGUUUGGUGUUAUAGUCCUUGGGAAAAUACCUUGUGCUCGAUUGAGGAUCGCAGUGAAUGCCUUUCGGGGCAGGAUGUGGUGAGGUAGGUUUGCUUGACCUAAGGUGACUUUCGGGUUGCUUUAGCGAUGGCUUACUCCUUGCU